AAAUAAGUAACUUAAAACACAAACAAAAACAAACAUACAUACCAGGUCAAAACCCCCCAUAACAUACGAAGACCUGAGAAAAUUGGAAGCCAGUUACAACGGGAGGAGCUUAAACAUAAAUUAUUUGUCAAUCAACUAUAUUCAAAUAGAUUCAAUAGAUCGUAGUACAGUUAUCAUACACAUAUCAAGACAUUAUCAAUUACGUACUAAAUGUGACUAUUCAAAACUUACCUCGGAUAUGCUUGAACGGUUGCG
rnacentral:lncRNA from 1 species